rnacentral:rRNA from 1 species
UACGAAGGGUGCUAGCGUUGUUCGGAAUCACUGGGCGUAAAGCGCACGAAGGCGGUUUGUUAAGUCGGGGGUGAAAUCCUGAGGCUCAACCUCAGAACUGCCUUCGAUACUGGCAAUCUCGAGUCCGGAAGAGGUUGGUGGAACAGCUAGUGUAGAGGUGAAAUUCGUAGAUAUUAGCUAGAACACCAGUGGCGAAGGCGGCCAACUGGUCAGGUACUGACGCUGAGGUGCGAAAGCGUGGGGAGCAAACAGG